rnacentral:rRNA from 1 species
UACGUAGGGUGCAGGCGUUAAUCGGAAUUACUGGGCGUAAAGCGUGCGCAGGCGGUUUUGUAAGUCUGUCGUGAAAGCCCCGGGCUCAACCUGGGAGUUGCGAUGGAGACUGCAAGGCUUGAAUCUGGCAGAGGGGGGUAGAAUUCCACGUGUAGCAGUGAAAUGCGUAGAGAUGUGGAGGAACACCGAUGGCGAAGGCAGCCCCCUGGGUCAAGAUUGACGCUCAUGCACGAAAGCGUGGGGAGCAAACAGG